rnacentral:rRNA from 1 species
GAUGAACGCUGGCUACAGGCUUAACACAUGCAAGUCGUGGGGAAACGGCAUUAUGUGCUUGCACAUUCUGGACGUCGACCGGCGCACGGGUGAGUAUCGCGUAUCCAACCUGCCCCUUACUUGGGGAUACCCCGUUGAAAGACGGCCUAAUACCCGAUGUGUUUCAUUGACGGCAUCCGAUAUGAAACAAAGGUUUUCCGGUAAGGGAUGGGGAUGCGUCUGAUUAGCUAGUUGGCGGGGCAACGGCCCACCAAGGCGACGAUCAGUAGGGGUUCUGAGAGGAAGGUCCCCCACAUUGGAACUGAGACACGGUCCAAACUCCUACGGGAGGCAGCAGUGAGGGAAUAAUUGGUCAAAUGGGAACGGAAAGUCUGAAACCAAGCCAAAGUAAGGCGUGCCAAG